UCUCCAUCAACAUGGUGUCCUUCCCUGUUAAAUUCAGCAUUUUUGACAAAGAUCCUCUGCAGACAAGGGCUGAAAAUAAAGCUGAAGAUAAAGAUGAAGUCUCAGCAAUAAACAGACAUCUGCUAGAAGCUUCUAAAGAAAUACCACAUAAACAGCCUGCAGCCCUCUCCAGGCAGCAUCCAGCUGCCAGGGGGAGGAGGAGGGACCCAGAGGACCUGUCCACAAGGGGGCUGGUUAGUGACUUCAUCCUUCACCCAAACCACUGAAGACCAGACCAGACUGUCAGCAAGAGCGCCAGCACGCGAAGCACACCCACAGGUCCUAUGGCUUACAAAUGAAAGCUCUUUCCGCUUUAAGAACCCAGGAUCCAGAAUAAACAAUGUGGAAGGAGACACACGUUUACUGUGGUUUCAACACGCCUCUUCCCUAUCCAGUAA